rnacentral:misc_RNA from 1 species
GAUGAAGAACGUAGCGAAAUGCGAUAAGUAAUGCGAAUUGCAGAAUUCCAGUGAGUCAUCGAAUCUUUGAACGCACAUUGCGCCCUUUGGUAUUCCGAAGGGCAUGCCUGUUCGAGCGUCAUUAUCACCCCUCAAGCCCUCGGCUUGGUGCUGGACGGUUUGGUGGAGGCCCCCUCGGGGGCUCCUGCCCCUCCCAAAGACAAUGACGGCGGCCUCGUUGGACCCCCGGUACACUGAGUUCUUCACGGGACACGUAUCGGACACAUGGGUUUACGGGACACGGUCUGCCUCCCCUCAGGGAGAAUCUUUCUAAGGUUGACCUCGGAUCAGGUAGGGAUACCCGCUGAACUUAAGCAUAUCAAUAAGCGGAGGA